UACGUAGGUGGCAAGCGUUGUCCGGAUUUAUUGGGUUUAAAGGGUGCGUAGGCGGUCUUAUAAGUCAGUGGUGAAAUACGGCAGCUCAACUGUCGAGGUGCCAUUGAUACUGUAGGACUUGAGUACAGACGAGGUAGGCGGAAUUGACGGUGUAGCGGUGAAAUGCUUAGAUAUCUGGAGGAACACCGGUGGCGAAGGCGGCAUCCUGGACCAUUACUGACGCUGAGGAGCGAAAGCCAGGGGAGCAAACGGG
rnacentral:rRNA from 1 species